GAAAAGGGAGAGGGAAAAGAAUGGAUGGUGGAAGAAAAAUAUCUAGAAGAAGGUUUUAUAUGCACUUGUCAUGGUAAAUAUAAAAUAAAAUCGUAAAUUUUGAAGCUAUAGGGUCUAACAACCCUUUAGAAAAAGAAUCAAUUGAACCGGUCUAUACGUAUCAAUUCACUCGAUUCAUUGUAGAAUCAAAUGAUUCGGUCACGAUUUAGGAACAUUUGCGAUUCACUCCAUAGUUUCAAAUUGCUGCAAUAGGGAAUUGAAUCGAAUCGAGUUGAAAAUUAUACGAUUCUAACAAUAGUGUUCAAGAGCAUUAAGUUUGACCUUCUUAGUGAUAUCAACAUGUUACUCAUAAUCAUGUCUAGGAUUUUGGCUAUGGCUUCUAUUAGAGGCUCUACCAUAAGGACUAGCGAUCCAAUAAUGGUGGUCUUGUAUAUAUUGAGUUUGUGGUGCUUCAAGAAUAGGUUGUCCAUACCCAAAAUGUGCCUUAUCAUCCUUAUGAAGAGGAGAUUAUCAAUAGGUGGAAAUCUCACAUACUUUGGUGCUACAUUACUUGUCUUGUGAGAUGCAUUUUGUGUUCUUGGGGCGUAAACUACAGCUAGGGUAGACUCAACAGAUUGAAUUGAAUCAAAUGGUUGCCUAAUUGACCCUUCUUCAUCCAUAGGAUGCUUAUCCCAAGCUUUGUGAAUUUGAUUAAUUUGUUUAGCGAGUUUUGC
rnacentral:misc_RNA from 1 species